UUAUCAGCUGAUGAAAAACUAUUCAAUAUCGGCAAGAGCACGAGAUAUGAGAAUAGGUCUGAUUCACUGAGAAUGACAAGGACUGGGUUGCAGAAGGAAGGAUCUAGAGUAAUAUUUGGUGUACCCAAGCCUGGAAAGAAAAGGAAAUUUAUGGAAGUUAGUAAGCAUUAUGUUGCAGAUCGGAGUAGUCAAAUCAAUGAACCAAAUGAUUCAGUCAAGUUAACAAAAUAUUUGAUGCCUCAAGGAGCAGGAUCCCGGGGAUGGAAAAGUUCUAAGACUGAAUCAAAUGAAAGGCGAGCAGCCAUUCCCAAGCCCAGGGUUCUUAAGUCUGCAAAACCACAGAACGUUUCUGUUAGAACAAUUCCUCAGAAGGACAACCUAUCAAGCACUGCAGUUUCUGCUCCUGAUGAUGGUGCUGUUGCAGAUAAUACUAUGAAGGCCAAGGAUUCGGUAAACCAUGGUGUAAACACUUUGGAAAAGCAGAACCUAAUGGGCUUUCAAUCAUUUUCUAGUUCUGAUGGACCAACAGAGGGCCCAAUCUUAUUUUCUGCA
rnacentral:misc_RNA from 1 species